rnacentral:rRNA from 1 species
CCUACGGGUGGCAGCAGUGAGGAAUAUUGGUCAAUGGACGAGAGUCUGAACCAGCCAAGUAGCGUGAAGGAUGACUGCCCUAUGGGUUGUACACUUCUUUUAUAUGGGAAUAAAAUGUUCCCCGUGUGGGAUUUUGUAUGUACCAUAUGAAUAAGGAUCGGCUAACUCCGUGCCAGCAGCCGCGGUAAUACGGAGGAUCCGAGCGUUAUCCGGAUUUAUUGGGUUUAAAGGGAGCGUAGGUGGAUUGUUAAGUCAGUUGUGAAAUUUUGCGGCUCAACCGUAAAAUUGCAGUUGAAACUGGCAGUCUUGAGUGCAGUAGAGGUGGGCGGAAUUCGUGGUGUAGCGGUGAAAUGCUUAGAUAUCACGAAGAACUCCGAUUGCGAAGGCAGCUCACUGGACUGCAACUGACACUGAGGCUCGAAAGUGUGGGUAUCAAACAGGAUUAGAUACCCUGGUAGUC